CACGGGGGGAGCAAGCGUUGUUCGGAUUCAUUGGGCGUAAAGGGCUCGUAGGUGGCUUUGUAAGUCGAAUGUGAAAGCCCCCGGCUCAACUGGGGAGGGUCAUUCGAUACUGUUCGACUCGAAGGCAGGAGAGGGAAGUGGAAUUCCGGGUGUAGUGGUGAAAUGCGUAGAUAUCCGGAGGAACACCAGUGGCGAAGGCGACUUUCUGGCCUGUUCUUGACGCUGAGGCGCGAAAGCUAGGGGAGCAAACGGG
rnacentral:rRNA from 1 species